UACGUAGGGGGCAAGCGUUGUCCGGAUUUACUGGGCGUAAAGAGCGUGUAGGCGGCCAAACAGGUCCGUUGUGAAAACUGGAGGCUCAACUUCCAGACGUCGACGGAAACCGUGUGGCUAGAGUCCGGAAGAGGAGAGUGGAAUUCCUGGUGUAGCGGUGAAAUGCGCAGAAUAUCAGGAAGACACCAAUGGCGAAGGCAGACUCUCUGGGGACGG
rnacentral:rRNA from 1 species